AUGGAGACUGAAGAAAUUAUUAAUUCCUUACUUCGAACUUUCUCUCAAUAUAUGUGUGUUUGUGUGGUCCUAAUGCGAAAUGAAGGGCUGGGAUUGCAUCAAUGCUGUUGACUUAAGGUCUGCUUUAAGGGAAUCUUGAGAGAAGAUUUACCAAUGAAGGAAUGAGAGUAGAUGAAUUCCAUGAAGAACUAAGAACUGCUCUCUGUCUCUCACUUCUCCUUCUUCGAUAGUGUGAUUAUUCCAAAACUCCUUCCUUUUCUAAAUGUGCAUGCUUAUAUGAAACUCCUAACAGUGUAAUCUAAUUUCUGCUACAUUGAGAGUUUGUUGAAUGCAUAUUAUAACUCUAUUGUAGUCGAUCUUUUGAUUAAUGUCGAGUUACUCGACUCCAGAGUUAUCAGACUCAUCAUCAAAUGAUGGAGUGGGAGUAGCUAUUGUUGUAGUCUUGGUAGUGGUCUUAGUGAAGAUUGUUAUUGCAGUUGUAGUGUGCAAGAAAUGUCAGAAACUCGCAAGAGAGAGAAGUCAGAAUGUGAGCUUAGUGCAGAUCGUUACCCCAGACUAUCGGACGCUCACAAUGGAGAAGAUCGUUACUCCAGACUUUCGGGCACUCACAAUGGACAACUUUAUAAAUGAUAUGGAAAGAGAAAAGCCCGCUAGGUUCACUUCUCAACAACUUCGGAUUGCGACUGAUAACUUCACCAAUUUGUUAGGCCAAGGAGGUUUUGGUGCAGUUUAUAAAUGAAUAUUUAGCAAUGGAACCCCAGUGGCAGUGAAGGUUCUACAUGGAAGUUCGGAUAAGAGAAUCAAGGAACAAUUUACGGCGGAAGUUAGUACAAUCGGAAGAAUACAUCACAUCAAUCUGGUCCGUCUUUAUGGUUUCUGCUUUGAGGAACACCUCAGAGCACUUGUUUAUGAGUACAUGGGAAAUGGAUCACUUGACAAGUACUUAUGUCGUAGCAACACAGUGGUCGUAGGAUUUGAACAACUUCAUGAGAUUGCUGUGGGGACAGAAAGAGGGAUCGCUUACUUGCAUGAAGAAUGCCAACAACGAAUUGUCCAUUACGACAUAAAGCCUGAAAAUAUUCUUUUGGAUGCAAAGUUCUUUCCAAAAAGUAGCUGAUUUCGGUUUCGCCAAGCUGUGUAACAGGGACAACACUCAUAUAACCAUGACAGGAGGGAGGGGGACUCCGGGUUAUGCUGCCCCGGAAGUUUGGCAGCAGUUCCCAAUAACACACAAAUGUGAUGUGUACAGCUUUGGAAUGCUAUUGUUUGAAAUUAUAGGCAGGAGAAGGAAUCUUGAUGUCAAAGUCGAAGAUGGCCGAGACUGGAGGUGCGUAUGGAAGAAGUUUGAACCCCGGAGAAUUAGGAGAGCUGAUGGUAGUUUGUGGAAUAGAGGAGAAAGAUAAAGAGAGGGCAGAGAGAACAGUAAAUGUAGCUAUGUGGUGUGUCCAGUAUAAGCAAGAGGAUACGCCUUCAAUGAGUGUCGUGGUGAAAAUGUUGGAAGGAGCAGUGGAGAUUCCUAGACCUUCAACUAACCCUUUUCAGCACUUGAUGUCGGACACUCCAUACCCUGCUGCACCCGUCUAUGAUACUUCAAAUCCAACAACUAGUACCAGCAGCGAUUUUUGUUCGGUUCCUUCUCAAACUGUAAAUGGAUAUAGAGCUGUAGAUGAUUCUCCUAUCAUGAAGAAAUAUGAGAUUGACGUAGCGUCUAACUAGGCAGAUUGUCUUCUGUUUCGCUCUCUCUCUCUCUCUCUCUCUCUCAAAAUGUAAUAUAUUUUUAACUAGGAACACAGAUAUAAGGGUGACGAUGGUAUUCAUCCUGUUCUGUAGAUUCCUGAUAAUAAAUAUAUAGUAGUGCAUGCAAAGCAUCUCCUUUUUCACA